GGGGGAGGGGGUGGGGGAGACCCAGGAUCAGAGACCCCUUCCCACUUCGACUGGUUUGCAAAUGAGCCUCGCGCGGGAUCUUUCCACUGCCUCAGACCGGCCUCUUCUCCAACACGUGUCAAGCCAUGAGGUCCUCUCUGCCUCCUUGCUGGGUCCUAGCCAAGUUUACCCGGAAAAGCCAGCUACACUGACUCAGGGUUCCUUCUUUUCUCCCCCUUCCUGCCCACCUGCUACCCUAGGUGAAGGGUCCCAUAGGAACAGAGGGUGAUCCCUGGCAUGGAAACAGGCAGAAGGCAUGACCUGGACCAGUUCCGUUUCAUCUUGGCGACAUCAACUCCACUCUUCCUUCUCUUGGACAAAGAAGAAGCAGAACAGAAGUUCUUCAGCCUGCAAUUUGUUUCCAGGAUAUGACACGUUUGCCCUUGACCUCUGAAGAACAUUUCCAUAUUCUUAUAUGUAGUAGGAAUGAAUGGUAAAACUGGUAGUUUUAAGGUAUAUAAAUCUAAAAAGUGUGAAAGUGUUA